GGAGGCGGAUGGCCCCUGGUGGUGCCCCUGGUCUUCAAAACCAGCGUGGGGCGUGAAGAGCGUCCCGGGUGUGUUCGAUUCGCACACGUCUCCGCCA
rnacentral:tRNA from 1 species